rnacentral:rRNA from 3 species
UUAAGCGACUAAGCGUACACGGUGGAUGCCCUGGCAGUCAGAGGCGAUGAAGGACGUGCUAAUCUGCGAAAAGCGCCGGCGAGGUGAUAUGAACCUUUGACCCGGCGAUGUCCGAAUGGGGAAACCCAGUGCAAUCCGUUGCACUAUCGUUAACUGAAUACAUAGGUUAACGAGGCGAACCGGGGGAACUGAAACAUCUAAGUACCCCGAGGAAAAGAAAUCAACCGAGAUUCCCCCAGUAGCGGCGAGCGAACGGGGAGCAGCCCGGAGUCUGAAUCAGCUUGUGUGUUAGUGGAACGGUCUGGAAAGUCCGACGGUACAGGGUGAUAGUCCCGUACACGAAAGCACACAUGCUGUGAACUCGAAGAGUAGGGCGGGACACGUGGUAUCCUGUCUGAAUAUGGGGGGACCAUCCUCCAAGGCUAAAUACUCCUGACUGACCGAUAGUGAACCAGUACCGUGAGGGAAAGGCGAAAAGAACCCCGGCGAGGGGAGUGAAAAAGAACCUGAAACCGUGUACGUACAAGCAGUGGGAGCCUCUUUAUGGGGUGACUGCGUACCUUUUGUAUAAUGGGUCAGCGACUUAUAUUCUGUAGCAAGGUUAACCGUAUAGGGGAGCCGAAGGGAAACCGAGUCUUAACUGGGCGUUAAGUUGCAGGGUAUAGACCCGAAACCCGGUGAUCUAGCCAUGGGCAGGUUGAAGGUUGGGUAACACUAACUGGAGGACCGAACCGACUAAUGUUGAAAAAUUAGCGGAUGACCUGUGGCUGGGGGUGAAAGGCCAAUCAAACCGGGAGAUAGCUGGUUCUCCCCGAAAGCUAUUUAGGUAGCGCCUCGUGAACUCAUCUUCGGGGGUAGAGCACUGUUUCGGCUAGGGGGCCAUCCCGGCUUACCAACCCGAUGCAAACUACGAAUACCGAAGAAUGUUAUCACGGGAGACACACGGCGGGUGCUAACGUCCGUCGUGAAGAGGGAAACAACCCAGACCGCCAGCUAAGGUCCCAAAGUCAUGGUUAAGUGGGAAACGAUGUGGGAAGGCACAGACAGCCAGGAUGUUGGCUUAGAAGCAGCCAUCAUUUAAAGAAAGCGUAAUAGCUCACUGGUCGAGUCGGCCUGCGCGGAAGAUGUAACGGGGCUAAACCAUGCACCGAAGCUGCGGCAGCGACGCUUAUGCGUUGUUGGGUAGGGGAGCGUUCUGUAAGCCGUUGAAGGUGUCCUGUGAGGGGUGCUGGAGGUAUCAGAAGUGCGAAUGCUGACAUAAGUAACGAUAAAGCGGGUGAAAAGCCCGCUCGCCGGAAGACCAAGGGUUCCUGUCCAACGUUAAUCGGGGCAGGGUGAGUCGACCCCUAAGGCGAGGCCGAAAGGCGUAGUCGAUGGGAAACAGGUUAAUAUUCCUGUACUUGGUGUUACUGCGAAGGGGGGACGGAGAAGGCUAUGUCAGCCGGGCGACGGUUGUCCCGGUUUAAGCAUGUAGGCGGAGGUUCCAGGUAAAUCCGGUACCUUGUUAACGCUGAGGUGUGAUGACGAGGCACUACGGUGCUGAAGUGAUAAAUGCCCUGCUUCCAGGAAAAGCCUCUAAGCAUCAGGUAACACGAAAUCGUACCCCAAACCGACACAGGUGGUCAGGUAGAGAAUACCAAGGCGCUUGAGAGAACUCGGGUGAAGGAACUAGGCAAAAUGGUGCCGUAACUUCGGGAGAAGGCACGCUGAUGUGUAGGUGAAGUCCCUGCGGACGGAGCUGAAAUCAGUCGAAGAUACCAGCUGGCUGCAACUGUUUAUUAAAAACACAGCACUGUGCAAACACGAAAGUGGACGUAUACGGUGUGACGCCUGCCCGGUGCCGGAAGGUUAAUUGAUGGGGUUAGCGGCAACGCGAAGCUCUUGAUCGAAGCCCCGGUAAACGGCGGCCGUAACUAUAACGGUCCUAAGGUAGCGAAAUUCCUUGUCGGGUAAGUUCCGACCUGCACGAAUGGCGUAAUGAUGGCCAGGCUGUCUCCACCCGAGACUCAGUGAAAUUGAACUCGCUGUGAAGAUGCAGUGUACCCGCGGCAAGACGGAAAGACCCCGUGAACCUUUACUAUAGCUUGACACUGAACACUGGUCCUUGAUGUGUAGGAUAGGUGGGAGGCUUUGAAGCGUGGACGCCAGUCUGCGUGGAGCCAACCUUGAAAUACCACCCUUUAAUGGCUGGUGUUCUAACGUAGACCCGUAAUCCGGGUUGCGGACAGUGUCUGGUGGGUAGUUUGACUGGGGCGGUCUCCUCCCAAAGAGUAACGGAGGAGCACGAAGGUUGGCUAAUCCUGGUCGGACAUCAGGAGGUUAGUGCAAUGGCAUAAGCCAGCUUGACUGCGAGCGUGACGGCGCGAGCAGGUGCGAAAGCAGGUCAUAGUGAUCCGGUGGUUCUGAAUGGAAGGGCCAUCGCUCAACGGAUAAAAGGUACUCCGGGGAUAACAGGCUGAUACCGCCCAAGAGUUCAUAUCGACGGCGGUGUUUGGCACCUCGAUGUCGGCUCAUCACAUCCUGGGGCUGAAGUAGGUCCCAAGGGUAUGGCUGUUCGCCAUUUAAAGUGGUACGCGAGCUGGGUUUAGAACGUCGUGAGACAGUUCGGUCCCUAUCUGCCGUGGGCGCUGGAGAAUUGAGGGGGGCUGCUCCUAGUACGAGAGGACCGGAGUGGACGCAUCACUGGUGUUCGGGUUGUCAUGCCAAUGGCACUGCCCGGUAGCUAAAUGCGGAAGAGAUAAGUGCUGAAAGCAUCUAAGCACGAAACUUGCCCCGAGAUGAGUUCUCCCUGAGACCUUGAGUCUCCUGAAGGAACGUUGAAGACGACGACGUUGAUAGGUCGGGUGUGUAAGCGCAGCGAUGCGUUGAGCUAACCGAUACUAAUGAACCGUGAGGCUUAACCUU